rnacentral:rRNA from 1 species
GAAUAUUGGACAAUGGGCGCAAGCCUGAUCCAGCCAUGCCGCGUGAGUGAAGAAGGCCUUAGGGUUGUAAAGCUCUUUCACCCGUGACGAUGAUGACGGUAGCGGGAGAAGAAGCCCCGGCUAACUCCGUGCCAGCAGCCGCGGUAAUACAGAGGGGGCGAGCGUUGUUCGGAAUUACUGGGCGUAAAGGGCGCGUAGGCGGCCUGUUAAGUCGAACGUGAAAUCCCCGGGCUCAACCCGGGAACUGCGUCCGAUACUGGCAGGCUUGAAUCCGGGAGAGGGAUGUGGAAUUCCAGGUGUAGCGGUGAAAUGCGUAGAUAUCUGGAGGAACACCGGUGGCGAAGGCGGCAUCCUGGACCGGCAUUGACGCUGAGGCGCGAAAGCCAGGGGAGCAAACGGG